ACCAUCCUUGUCUUGGGGUUGCGCCGCUGUCCGAUGAACGGCUAGUGAGGACAGUGCUGCUGACGCCACAACAACACUUCGCGCCCGGAGGCUUCGGCUUUAAUGUGGUGCAAUUUUUGGAACC
rnacentral:ncRNA from 1 species